UAAAGAUUUUACUGUUUAAAAUUUAAUAACUGAUUUAUAUGUAUUUUUUGACACUGAUUUCAAAAAUAUUACAAUUUUUUGUCUAUCACGUAAAGUUCUAAAGUUAUCCCGUUAUUACCAAUUAACAUUAUGCACAAAUAGCCUACGAACAGUUAAUUCUUUAUUAUAUUAUGUUAUCGUUACGAUAUUAAUACAUAGUUACAAUUGACAACCAUAUCUUAAUCCAUACAUUUUAUUAUAAUGAAUAAAGAUAUAGUGGUUUUUAUAUUAGGUAGGUAUAUCUGUAUAUUCGACUAUACGGAAUCGUCAAUUAGGAAAAAACUGAUAAAAUAAGCUCGGAGGUAAAUGUGUUUAUUAUAACUUUAUUUUUAUCAUUUAGUGUCAAUAGUAAGUAUAUAUUAUUGUCAGUGUUCUAUUAGAAAUAUUUUAUUAAAUAUAAUAUAAUAAAAUAUAUUAUAAACAUGGAAAGAAGACGCUGCGUUAAUAGUCCAGACAUUUUUUGUUUUAUUUGUGGCGAGUUUAUGGUGAAGAAACAAAUUCAAAACAUCAAUCCUUUCGUGAAAAAUGCAUAGGUACUAUGCAUAUUUUGGAAUAAAAAUUGGAGACCAGGAUAAAUCAUGGGCACCUCAUAAAGUUUGUAAAAUUUGCGUCGAAGACUUUAGAAAUUGGACUAAAGGUAAGAAGAAAGCUUUACGUUUCGGAAUACCAAUGGUUUGUCAAAUCAUGGUGAUGAUUGUUAUUUUUGUUCAUGUAAUGUACAAGGAUUUAAUAUAAAAAAUAAGAAAAAUAUUAUCUAUCCCGAUGACAUUCGAUCUGCUAUAAGACCCAUGCCCCAUGACCUACUAUACCCAUAUAUUUUCCUCCAGUCAAUCUUGAUACUAUUUUAACAUCUGAAUUCAGUGAUAUUGAUAAUUAUUGUACUUGUAUUAAAAACGAUAUAAGCUAUUAUAAUACGUGUACUGUGUAGUGUAUUUAUAUUUCAUUUUAUAUUAUGUAUAAUUUAAUUUUAGAUUUUUGUUUGUGCCGACAGUUUAAUAUUCAAAUUGGUGGACUAUAUGCUUGUGAGAUAUAUAAUAGUAUGUUGCUAAUGUUGCUAUAAACCGUAAAGAAACAGAAACAAUUUUUGAAUCGAGCUCACUAAAAAUAUUAUUUAUAUUGUUAUUUGUAAAUGUAGAAGGCACUAACAAAUUUUAAAAAUUAAUUUUUAAUAUAGCAUUAUAUCCUAUAGGUAUAUAUCUUUUUAUUUUUAUCGUAUUUGAACCGACGGCGCCACGGCAAUAGCUUUCGCAUUACUUCCGCGGAAUUGUAUAAGUAUAUAAUAAUCUAUACGCGAUCAGAGUGACGUUUGGUUUAAACCAGGUCGUGUAUUCAAAUUGUAUGUUACUUCUGUACUUGAAAUCUUUAUGUAUAUAUUUUAUAUAGUUAUGCAUAGGAUUAUUAUAUUGAUUAAAACAAAUUUGAUAACGUAUAUAGAUUAAAAAUUUUUGAAUACUCGUUUUGUCUUAAAUAAUAAAUAUUUCCACUUAAAUUUUUUUUUAACAUAAGUAAAAUUCAAUAAUACCAAUACAUAAUUAAAUAUUUAAUUUUAUUAAACACGGACAAAUUUUUGGCAUAAUGUUCGCGGAAUAAAUAAAUAAAAAAUAGAUAAAUUUAUAAUAUAUCUUACUAAUAGCUACUUCACUGCAGUCAAACAUAGUUUUAAUUUUAAUAUUCUAUAUUUUCACUGUAGGAAUAUCACAAAAACACACACAGUGCACUGUGCAGGCCAUAAUUAGCGAUAAGUGAAUAAAAAUAUUGUCAUAAGCAGAGAAUAGGAAAACAAUGAGCGUAUUUUACGUAUUCGUCAAUAUAAUAAUAUUAUACUGCCGUCACCAAUCCGGGAAAAUGAAUUUAAAAUUGAUUACAUCAGUCAAUCAAGUAUUAAGUUCCGGGACAAUUGGCUAUUCCGACACACUUUAUAGGGACGCCGGAACUCUGUAUAUUAAAAAUCAGGACGUUUGGCAAUUGGCAACUUUAUCAAUAAAUCAAGUUACAUUAUUACUUACCACGCAAUUUAUUUUCGGCGCAAAGUUCAUAAAAAAUACAUAUACAUACAGUGGAACCUAUCAAUAAGUCCAAAACCUAGAUAAGUCGAAAAAAAUGCCGUUUCCUUGCGAAAACCUCGAUUACUCGAAAGAAAAACUCAAGAUAACUCGAACAUUCUGUGCUCCGAAUAGUUUGAAUUCUGAAUAAAGACGGAUAAUUUUAUAAACAUUUGUCGCCUAAUCGGCUUAAACACUAUUGAUAAUAGUAUGUUAGUAUGUACUCUCAAAUUUUAAGUCAAAGUAUGAUAACAAAUUAUCUAUUAUAAAGUUGAAAACUGUACACAUGUUUUAUUAUAAUUUUUUUUAUUUAUAAAUAUAUAUAUAUGUUUUA